GAGUUUGAUCUUGGCUCAGGAUGAACGCUAGCGGCAGGCUUAAUACAUGCAAGUCGUGGGGCAGCAUGAGUGUAGCAAUACAUUUGAUGGCGACCGGCAAACGGGUGCGGAACACGUACACAACCUUCCUUUAAGUGGGGGAUAGCCCAGGGAAACUUGGAUUAAUACCCCGUAAUAUAUAGAAGCGGCAUCGCUUUUAUAUUAUAGCAGCAAUGCGCUUGAAGAUGGGUGUGCGGCUGAUUAGAUAGUUGGCGGGGUAACGGCCCACCAAGUCGACGAUCAGUAACUGGUGUGAGAGCACGACCAGUCACACGGGCACUGAGACACGGGCCCGACUCCUACGGGAGGCAGCAGUAAGGAAUAUUGGUCAAUGGACGAAAGUCUGAACCAGCCAUGCCGCGUGGAGGAUGAAGGUCCUCUGGAUUGUAAACUUCUUUUAUAUGGGACGAAAAAGGGUUUUCUAACUCGUCUGACGGUACCAUAUGAAUAAGCACCAGCUAACUCCGUGCCAGCC
rnacentral:rRNA from 1 species